rnacentral:lncRNA from 1 species
UGACAUGUUUGGGAUACUUUUCAAUACUUGAGCAACACAAAGGAGCCAUAAACCUGACUUAACCAACCAGUUAAACUGCAUUCACAGGUAAUUUGUAACCUUGUGGUGGAUGCCUUGAGUCAUCAGAUUGAUUCAAAACUGCUGGAGUGCAGGAGGGAAGGCAGCCUAUGAAGUAGCUAACUGAAGUUAUUUGGAAGCCAGGAGCUUAAUUUCAUGCAUAGGACUUAAUAAAUAAGAAGAUGUAGUCAUGAUUUACUGUAAAACCAAAGAACCACUGAAUCAUGAGCCAGCAGAACUAUUUUCCAGAGCUUUAAAUAUUUCAUCUUCUUGCCUGGAUACUGGAUUUUCAUUCAUAGCUGAAAGCAGAGGAAUCUGUGCUGUGGUCAUCCAGAAACUGCUUACACGCAUUACAACUAAUGUAUGGUCUACACACCCAGUGAAAACGUGGAACACCAGAAUAUAAACUCUGCUUAUAAGAGUUUGCUGAGGAACAAGUCCAGGCAAGUCGUGGGCAAAGGUAGAGAAAUCUUCUAUCUGGAGGACUCUGAUGGACAGGUCCUGGCUAAGGGUUGUGAAAUCCUUUAAGGAGCACAGAUGGACAAGGCCAGGGACCACGAGAGAGGGAUAAGCUGCUGAUAAUGGCUGGGAAAUGGUCUUUUGUGUGGACUUAUCUCGAGGAAGAUGGCCAUCUCAGGAGGUAUGCACAUGACUCUUGCUAAAGCACCCAGGAAUGUCACAUAGGCAGGAAAAAAAGGAGGAUAAAAGAGGUGUCUGUCAUCAGAUCCCUCGCUAUGAAAGGCCUGCAUGCUGACAGACUCAAGGUGUCUGCCAUCAGAUCCCUCAUUAUGGACUGCAUGCUGACAGACUUGCCUGGGUCUGCUACCUGAGACCUGCUGCUUCCUCCUGGGCUUACUCUGCGGCUUUUUCCUGGACCCACCCAGUACCUGCACCCUCGCUGCUCCUGCCCUUCGGCCUUGGACCAUCGGAACGGCGUGCAGCAGACCGCUGCUGGAUCUUGGUGGUGACUAUCCCUGCUUUACACAAUUCUUGCUUCUUUCUAUCUUUUCUAUCGCCCGCCCUCCCUUCCCCAUCACCCAAAUCCAUAAUAGUGUCCAUCCUCCCCUUUCUUCAUCUCUCUUAUUAACAUUUGCAAUAAUACUGGUUGGACCAACAUUUGAACUGUUGUUUCUUAAUCUCACACCAGAUAUACAUACAUCAAAGAACCUCCUCUCCCUCCUAUAAAUUGGAGCAAGACAAUAUAUAUAUAAACCAUAUGUUGACUAUAUACUAUAUAUAUAUAUAUCAGAAACCAAUUCUAACACUUCUCUGGUCUUCUGUGUUGAGUGAAAAAAGAGAACACUAACAAUUCACUUGAAUAUCAAUAGAGAUAGAAGAUAUUGAGCCCCACAAAUAACAAGUUUUCUUCAAAUGAAAUAAGAUAUAUAUCAACUCAAUAUUCUAGAAUAUAGAAUUGAAGUACAUAAAGAUGUUUACAUGUGCACUAAGUAUUUCAAAUGUUGUUUGUGGAGAGGAUGUCAACACAGACAGUAUUGUCCCCAGUGUGGCUGAACAAAUGUAAUUAACUUACUGGGUAAAGAUUUGCACUCCACUGCCAUGGUGAUCAGAUUUCUGCAGUGAGAUCAACAUCCAGAUAACAUGAUGAAGGCAGAGCAUUCUUAAUAACAGUCCAGAAUCAAGACCCUGAUUCAUCUGCCUAUACAUAUGUAUUUAGUACCACGGAGACAGCUAGAGUAUUUGUGUCAUUCAUUCAAAGACAGUAAACAUAAGACACUCAAUAACCUGCUCGUGCUGAAGGUGCAUACCUAUGUGCUAUGAAGUAUUUCAGACAGCACUAGAUAGCUGAGUUUAGGCAACUGAGUCAAAUCUAUAGUGUCCUGCUGAAAAACUUUGGCUAAAGACUUUUCUAGACUUUUAUAGUUGGAGCAAAAUGUAAUCUAGUCUAGAAUUAUUCCACUAUGGUUACUGUUGAUGAGAAAAACAACUACCCUUGAUACCUCAUCCUGACUGCCCCCCAAUAUAUUGUAAAACCAUACAGUUAGCAAAGAAUACUCACACAUUACAAUGAAAUUCUAAAAUCAGGGAAAUGGCUGCUAGUGGAUUUAAUGAGGAUUUUCUUUACUAGGAAGCAGAUAUCCCAAAUGCAAGAAAUUCUUUUUUCUUUCUCCAUAACUAUAUGUUCUUGUACAUUUAAUAGAUUCUUGCACUUGUAAAGAUUCACUCCAAGCAUAUGGAGGCUAUGAAUGAGAGGUGAGUAAUCUAAAUGAAUGAACUUAGAAACAUCUCAGAAUGUGCAAGUACUGUUCCUGAUUCACAAAUUUGCAAACUAAAGGGGGUUAAAACAAGGAAAAUUGAGGAAUUAAAACUAAAUAAGUAAUUGCUUAUAUUUCAGAUGAAUCCAACUUUUUUCAUUGUGGUGUCUUGUCAUAAUGCAAGAAUGGUGGUGAGAUGAAGGUAUAUGCAAUGCAAGAUUUUGUAGAAUUAGUCUUCUUAAUCCAAAUUACAAUGCUGGAAACAGUUUUUUAUGUAGCACAAAAAAAACUAAUAUUUAUUGCAUUGGACUCUUAAGUUCCUCGGAAAAAUCCUAAGAUUUUUUCAUGAUAAUUUUGAAGGACAAGAAAAGAUAUGUACAGAGAAAAUAAAUAAAAUAAAAUAAAAUAAAAUAAAAUAAAAUAAAAUAAAAUAAAAUUAUCCACUCUUUGUCUCACAGUGUUGUUUCAUGAGUAAGUCUUACAGAGAAAAAAGAAAGUCACUUUGCGGUCCUCCUGGAAUACAGCAAUCGUGUAUGAAUCCAUAAUGUCCUCUCAUCCAUGCAUCACUGGGGAGGGAAAAAUCAAAGUACACUUUCUCUUCCAGUCCUGCAGAGUGCUUGCUUUCUCUUUUUGCUGAUUACACGCUCUCUUUACCUUUGAAAUCAUAUUAAAGCAC